UGGUGCAGUGUACUGUACUCUGCUUAAGAGAGAGUGGAGAGAGCUGUGAGCUAACCCCUUGGAGACCGGGGUUCAAGUCCGGUUGAUGUCCUCGGUUGGAUGACUCUUAUUUCUAUUUCAUGCAAAUUAUAAAGUAAAGUAUAACCAUUGUGAUGACUUUAUUCGGUGUCUUGAUGGUGCAUUGAUAAGUUCGGAGGUUAACACUCUAAACAGCUCAGGUUCGGAUCCCCGCAAAAACGUUAACAGGGGUACUACUGUCGUUUUUUAUUGGUCAACAUGGAAAAAAACAUGAGGGGUAACAGUCGUUUUUUAUCGGCCGUCAUGAAAUAAACAUAAGGGGUAACACUGUCGAUAUUUAUCAAAUAAAACAUAGGGGGUAACACUGUUGUUUUUUAUUGGUCGUCAUGAAAUAAAACAUAAGGGGUAACACUGUUGUUUUUUAUUGGUCGUCAUGAAAAAAAACAAAAGGGGUAGCACUGUUGUUUUUUAUUGGUCGUCAUGAAAAAAAAACAUAAAGCGUAACACUGUUGUUUUUGUCAAAUAAAAUAUAAGGGGUAACACUGUUGUUUUUUAUUGGUAGUCAUGAAAAAAAACAUAAGGGGUAACACUGUUGUUUUUUAAUGGUCGUCAUGAAAAAAAACAUAAGGGGUAACACUGUUGUUUUUUAUUGGUCGUCAUGAAAAAAACCAUAAAGGGUAACACUGUUGUUUUUGUCAAAUAAAAUAUAAGGGGUAACACUGUUGUUUUUUAUUGGUCAUCAUGAAAAAAAACAUAAGGGGUAACACUGUUGUUUUUUAAUGGUCGUCAUGAAAAAAAACCAUAAAGGGUAACACUGUUGUUUUUGUCAAAUAAAAUAUAAGGGGUAACACUGUUGUUUUUUAUUGGUCAUCAUGAAAAAAAACAUAAGGGUAACACUGUUGUUUUUUAUGGUCGUCAUGAAAAAAAAACAUAAGGGGUAACACUGUUGUUUUUUAUUGGUCGUCAUGAAAAAAAACAUAAGGGGUAACACUGUUGUUUUUUAUUGGUCGUCAUGAAAAAAAACAUAAGGGGUAACACUGUUGUUUUUUAUUGGUCGUCAUGAAAAAAAAAAUAUGGGGGGUAACACAGUUGUUUUUUAUUGGUCGUCAUGAAAAAAA
ensembl:lncRNA